GACGAACGCUGGCGGCGGGCUUAACACAUGCAAGUCGAACGGAAAGGCCCUGCUUUUGUGGGGUGCUCGAGUGGCGAACGGGUGAGUAACACGUGAGUAACCUGCCCUUGACUUUGGGAUAACUUCAGGAAACUGGGGCUAAUACCGGAUAGGAGCUCCUGCUGCAUGGUGGGGUUUGGAAAGUUUCGGCGGUUGGGGAUGGACUCGCGGGUUAUCAGCUUGUUGGUUGGGUAGUGGCUUACCAAGGCUUUGACGGGUAGCCGGCCUGAGAGGGUGGACGGGCACCAUAGGACUGAGGUAGGGACCAGAGUCCUACGGGAGGCAGCAGGGGAGAAUAUUGCACAAUGGGCGGAAGCCUGAUGAAGAAGCGCCGGGAGCGGGAUGAAGGCCUUCGGGUUGUAAACCGCUUUAGCCUGUGACGAAGCGUGAGUGACGGUAAUGGGUAAAGAAGCACCGGCUAACUACGUG
rnacentral:rRNA from 1 species